rnacentral:rRNA from 1 species
GGGUUGUGAGGUUAAGUGACUAAGCGUACACGGUGGAUGCCUAGGCAGUCAGAGGCGAUGAAGGACGUGCUAAUCUGCGAUAAGCGUCGGUGAGCUGAUAUGAAGCAUUAUUAGCCGGCGAUGUCCGAAUGGGGAAACCCAGUGCAAUCCGUUGCACUAUCGUUAAGUGAAUCCAUAGCUUAACGAGGCGAACCAGGGGAACUGAAACAUCUAAGUACCCUGAGGAAAAGAAAUCAACCGAGAUUCCCCCAGUAGCGGCGAGCGAACGGGGAAGAGCCCAGAACCUGAAUCAGUUUGUGCAUUAGUGGAAGCGUCUGGAAAGUCGCGCGAUACAGGGUGAUAGCCCCGUACACGAAGGUGCACAGCUGUGAGUUCGAUGAGUAGGGCGGGACACGUGUUAUCCUGUCUGAAUAUGGGGGGACCAUCCUCCAAGGCUAAAUACUCCUGACUGACCGAUAGUGAACCAGUACCGUGAGGGAAAGGCGAAAAGAACCCCGGCGAGGGGAGUGAAAUAGAACCUGAAACCGUGUACGUACAAGCAGUGGGAGCAUCCUUUUGGGUGUGACUGCGUACCUUUUGUAUAAUGGGUCAGCGACUUAUAUUUUGUAGCAAGGUUAACCGAAUAGGGGAGCCGUAGGGAAACCGAGUCUUAACUGGGCGUCUAGUUGCAAGGUAUAGACCCGAAACCCGGUGAUCUAGCCAUGGGCAGGUUGAAGGUUGGGUAACACUAACUGGAGGACCGAACCGACUAAUGUUGAAAAAUUAGCGGAUGACUUGUGGCUGGGGGUGAAAGGCCAAUCAAACCGGGAGAUAGCUGGUUCUCCCCGAAAGCUAUUUAGGUAGCGCCUCGUGAACUCAUCUUCGGGGGUAGAGCACUGUUUCGGCUAGGGGGUCAUCCCGACUUACCAACCCGAUGCAAACUACGAAUACCGAAGAAUGUUAUCACGGGAGACACACGGCGGGUGCUAACGUCCGUCGUGAAGAGGGAAACAACCCAGACCGCCAGCUAAGGUCCCAAAGUCAUGGUUAAGUGGGAAACGAUGUGGGAAGGCACAGACAGCCAGGAUGUUGGCUUAGAAGCAGCCAUCAUUUAAAGAAAGCGUAAUAGCUCACUGGUCGAGUCGGCCUGCGCGGAAGAUGUAACGGGGCUAAACCAUGCACCGAAGCUGCGGCAGCGAACGUAUCACCCAAGACAACUUUGCGGAGUUGACGAUUGACGGAGCGAAGCGACGUCAAAGCGUUAAUUAAAGUCGAGUUGGCUUAGGGAUACGUUCGUUGGGUAGGGGAGCGUUCUGUAAGCCGUUGAAGGUGGCCUGUGAGGG